rnacentral:rRNA from 1 species
AUGAAAGGUUGCAUUUAUUUUCCUUUACUUGGUGAUGGUAAGAACAUAUGCUGCUUGCUAUAUCUUGUUUUGGCCACGUUAAUAGCAAUUACCUUGGUUUUAACAAAGUGCAUAUAUAGUCUGAUUCAUCGUAGCCUUGUAGGCAAAACAUGCGGUGAUAAAAAUGUAGACAACUAUUUUCGCUAUGAAUUCCGAGUAAUACUAGAUAGUCUAACAUGGCUUCAGAUUCUUUUGUUGUUUCAUAUGUUAGUUUUCUUCUUCACAUGGACAAGGGGGCUAAGUUUGGCAUACGUUGUAUAUUUCUCGAUGUAA